UUGCAUGAAAUUGGUGAUCACAAAAAACCUAAAAAAACAAGAAUAAAAGCAAUCUUUUCAUCUGCAUAACGAUUGUCUUGUUUGAUUUUCAAAGAGCUUUUCAUAUCAAAAUCUUUAUGCAGGUUGCUUCUCAAACCCAUUGAACAUAAUGAUCGGACGUCAUCUCCCAAUUUUGAAUUCCCUGUAUUCGAAGUGGACGAAGAUGGUGUUGAAGGGAUUCCUGACGAGAUUUCCCGACUUCUUGAGCAAGAAAAGAAAAUCACACUCAGCUGCAUCUCGAGAAUCAGCAGAACAGCCAACUGGGGCAUUAAAAAAAAAAGAAUCAAUCAAAA
rnacentral:lncRNA from 1 species